AUUGAACGCUGGCGGCAUGCCUUACACAUGCAAGUCGAACGGCAGCACGGGUGCUUGCACCUGGUGGCGAGUGGCGAACGGGUGAGUAAUACAUCGGAACGUACCUUAUCGUGGGGGAUAACGCAGCGAAAGCUGUGCUAAUACCGCAUACGCCCUGAGGGGGAAAGCGGGGGAUCGAAAGACCUCGCGCGACUAGAGCGGCCGAUGCCUGAUUAGCUUGUUGGUGGGGUAAAAGCCCACCAAGGCGACGAUCAGUAGCUGGUCUGAGAGGACGGUACGGCACACUGGGACUGAGACACGGCCCAGACUCCCACGGGAGGCAGCCGUGGGGAAUUUUGGACAAUGGGGGCAACCCUGAUCCAGCAAUGCCGCGUGAGUGAAGAAGGCCUUCGGGUUGUAAAGCUCUUUUGUCAGGGAAGAAACACCGGCUCUAACACAGUCCGGGAAUGACGGUACCUGAAGAAUAAGCACCGGCUAACUACGUGCCAGCCGCCGCUGUAA
rnacentral:rRNA from 1 species